rnacentral:lncRNA from 1 species
CUUGGAUAUUGGUAAUUUAAACUGUAUUCUGUUCCUUAGGAUUCUCUGAAAUCAGUAUUAAUGGACUGGAGCAAGAAGAGAGGAAAAGAUGACUUCACAUUUAUGAAUACCAAAUAUGAGAACUCAGCUCUUUGCCUUCCAGCAGCCGAAUUCCUCUUUUGGAAAAGAACGUAUUCCGUAGAAGCUCAUGUAGCAGCCAGUCCCUUUGGUCUCUUCCAUCCCAUGGCCAACUCUAAGUCCAAGGAUGGCUGUGAAAGUGAGUAUCCAGCUUCUCCAAACUGCAGAGUGGAGAUUCCAUCAAUGACUAUUUGGUCAGGUAAGUAACCGUGUCUAUUAUAAUCAUUUCAGCAUUUUAUCUUCAUCUCCCUACAACCUCCUUAAUUCCAAUUCACAGGAUAGUUAUAUAGGGUUUUAUUAAAAUAUAGAUGUAGAACCAACAUUAAACUAUUGAAUAACUGAAAUUUACGAAGGUACUGGCUUGUAGGAAACAUUAGCAGGGAAAACCAAUACCAACUGAUUUAAAAAGGAAUACCUCAAAACUUGUCAGAACAAGUUAAGGCUAAAGGUUGGCUGAUAUUAAAAAAACAAAAAACAAAAAACAAAAAAACCUUUUAAUUGUAAAAAAAAAAAAAAUACAACCUUACGAAACAAGAAUCUCAGAUUGUAAGCAAUUAUAAAGAAGAAACUGGAGGUCAUCUAAAAGUAACCCCUGAUAUAUUUGGCAUAAACUCUUUCAAAUUUUUUCUAAAUAUUCUACAUAUAUUCUUCCUUCCUCCACUAUUCUUCCUGUAACCAUGCUAGAUUUUUCUGAAAUCUACUUUCCUCUUCUAAUAUAUCCUUGUCCCCUUUCCAUAUACUUGCUGUGUUAUAUUCCACAUAUGCAGACUCAUGCCAAACUGCCUGGGUGUCACUCCCAACUCGAUUGCUUGGCAGAUGCAUAAACUUGGGCAAGUUACUUGACCUCCUUGUGCCUCACUUUCCUCAUCUUUAAAAUGAGAUAAUAAUGCUAUCCAUGCAGAGAAUUCUUGUGAGAAUUAAAUGAGUUAAUUCCUAAAAUGAACUUAGUACAGUGGCAAGCAAACAGUGACUACUCAAUAAAUGCCAGCUAUUUUUAUUUUAUGGAUAUAUG